GACAGAGGAUGCAAGCGUUAUCCGGAAUGAUUGGGCGUAAAGCGUCUGUAGGUGGCUUUUUUAAGUCCGCCGUCAAAUCCCAGGGCUCAAACCCUGGACAGGCGGUGGAAAACUACCAAGCUGGAGUACGGGUAGGGGCAGAGGGAAUUUCCGGUGGAGCGGUGAAAAUGCGUAGAGAUCGGAAAGAACACCAACGGCGAAAGCACUCUGCUGGGCCGACACUGACACUGAGAGACGAAAGCUAGGGAGCGAAUGGG
rnacentral:rRNA from 1 species